rnacentral:rRNA from 1 species
AAGCUAAAUAUUGGCCAGAGACCGAUAGCGCACAAGUAGAGUGAUCGAAAGAUGAAAAGCACUUUGAAAAGAGGGUUAAAUAGCACGUGAAAUUGUUGAAAGGGAAGCGUUUGCGACCAGACCUUUUCCUGGUGGAUCAUCCGGUGUUCUCACCGGUGCACUUCGCCAGGUUUAGGCCAGCAUCGGUUCUUGUAGGGGGACAAAAGCUCGGGGAAUGUAGCUCCCUCGGGAGUGUUAUAGCCCCGUGCAUAAUACCCUUACGGGGACCGAGGACCGCGCUUCGGCAAGGAUGCUGGCGUAAUGGUCGUCAACGACCCGUCUUGAAACACGGACCAAGGAGUCGAACAGUUGUGCGAGUGUUUGGGUGUUAAACCCUCACGCGUAAUGAAAGUGAACGGAGGUGAGAGCCCGCAAGGGUGCAUCAUCGACCGAUCCUGAUGUCUUCGGAUGGAUUUGAGUAAGAGCAUCACUGUUCGGACCCGAAAGAUGGUGAACUAUGCGUGGAUAGGGUGAAGCCAGAGGAAACUCUGGUGGAGGCUCGCAGCGGUUCUGACGUGCAAAUCGAUCGUCAAAUCUGCGCAUGGGGGCGAAAGACUUAUCGAACCAUCUAGUAGCUGGUUACCGCCGAAGUUUCCCUCAGGAUAGCAGUGUUGUUCUUCAGUUUUAUGAGGUAAAGCGAAUGAUUAGGGACUCGGGGGCGCUUUUUAGCCUUCAUCCAUUCUCAAACUUUAAAUAUGUAAGAAGCCCUUGUUACUUAAUUGAACGUGGGCAUUCGAAUGUACCAACACUAGUGGGCCAUUUUUGGUAAGCAGAACUGGCGAUGCGGGAUGAACCGAACGCGGGGUUAAGGUGCCGGAGUGGACGCUCAUCAGACACCACAAAAGGUGUUAGCACAUUUAGACAAUAGGACGGUGGCCAUGGAAGUCGGAACCCGCUAAGGAUUGUGUAACAACUCACCUAUCGAAUGUGCUAGCCCUGAAAAUGGAUGGCGCUCAAGCGUCCCACCCAUACCUCGCCCUCAGGGUAGAAACGAUGCCCUGAGGAGUAGGCGGCCGUGGAGGUCAGUGACGAAGCCUA